rnacentral:lncRNA from 12 species
AUGCAGUUCACUUGUGUUUAUUUUUGCAGAAAAGCAAUUUAUCCAGCCACUCUGGAAAAAAAAAAUGGCCUGUCAGGAGCCUCCUUUGGAGCAGAGUGUUUUUCCUCAAAAGAAACUCAAAUUGUUCUCAAUGUAGGGCAGGCUUUGGGUGUGUCUCCUCGAACAUGUACAGGGGUCUGUCCUGUGUGCGGGAGAGCGUUGGGGUGUCUGGCGUGGGCCCUGGCUUUGUCUCUAGAAUGUGGAUGGUGCAUCUUUGGGCCUCUGUCCUUCCCUGCCUGCGUGGGUUUGAGAUACUCUUACAAAAGGAAUGUGUGCGGGUUCCGGCCCAGCGGAGCAGGCCCUGGCCUGAUCGGGAGCUGCGAAGCACCCAGCCAGCAAAGGCUGCCUUUGGAACAGGGAGUUUGGCCGGCCAGAGACAAGCCAUUCCAGAGACAGACGAUCACACAAACUGGUGCCCACACACGCUGGGGUAUACAGCCCUCCUCUGGCAGCUCGGCCUGUGCUUUCCAGGGCUCUAGCUGUCUUCUGGGCCCACCAGGGAACCCAAGCUUCCGACUCUCCUGGGUGCGGCUGCACUCAAACUGCUGGAGCUCCGGCAAGAUGCAUCAUUUGGCUGGUUGCAGUCCUCUUCAGAGCACUCUGAGCUGUGCAUCCUCCUGGCACUUUUGAGGAGCACCUUCCUGCCUGUGAUGGUUCCAUCCCAAGACAGAAUCAGAGCAACGUUGGGCCCCUCCAUGAUGGAGCCUGAGCAAAAGGGAAAAUCAGUAAUGCUGAUCCUGUCUCUAUUUAAAAAUUUGGUAUUUCAUUCAUCCCUCAUUGAUAUCUUGCAUCACUUUUGAUUUUUAAAAAUGUUGCAUUAAAGUCUGAUUUGUCCUGCCUGCUGAGUGUUUUGAUGACCCUUACGUUUUUACACUUGAGGUGAAUGCCAAGAGAAGGGAGCCCUUGGUCUGGGCCGGGGAAUGUCCUGGGGCUGGAGGUGGACCAGAGCUUCCCCCCUUCCAGGAGUGGCUUGUGGGGUCUGCGGGUGUGGGUGUGUGAGGAGGCAGGCUCAGAGCUUCUGCUACUGUUUCCCUGGGGCUGAGGGGCAGGCCCGGAGGAGGGGGCCCAGCCUGUGGGUUAGCCCAGCGAGCGAGGAGCAAGUGAGCAAGCAGGAGAGUGAGUCUUUGAAGGUGGAAAGAGAAGCAGGGAGCAGAGUUGGCAUGGAGGGAGAAAAAUGUAGUCUGUGACACCAAUUUUCUAUGGAUGGGACUGGAAAAUGAGAAAACUGGAGGCUUUAAAGGCAGCAGGUGACAGAGCCACAGGUGAUGCUAAAUCUCUCCAAUCCCCCAAAGUUCAGUGACAUUGUUCCAUACAUAUUGGCCUUGUGCGAGCACUCCUUUGGUGAGGGAGCAGAGGAAAGGGUGGAUUCCGGGCUCUGAGCCUGUCCAUGUGGAAGUGGGGCCCAGAAUGUGCGCAGCAACUCUUUCUGCCCACUGACCUGUUCAGUGGAAGCAGUGCCCAAAGACAAAGACAUGUAGGCAAAUCCCCCAAUGGGAUUAGGGCCAGUUCUCCUACAGCUCAAAGGGCAGGCACCUCUGCGUGUACAUCUGUAUCUCAGACUCCCAGCUCCCUGGCUUGCUGCCCAUGUUGAGACCUUUGAACAUUUUCUUGUUCAUUAGCACCUUCUCUG